CAUGGAUCGAACCCUCAUUCCCAUGGAUACUAGUUGGAUUCGCUUCCGAGGAGCCACAAAGAUGAUACUACUGAGCCAAACCUCAGUCCACUCGCCUAGCAAGAAAAGCUGACCUACCAACCCCAGGUGGUCUUGAAGGAAAUCGUAGCAUUUAUUGCAGGUGCCAAGCAAGGAGUCCAGGAGGAACGGCCCUGGUGCCAGUGCUGUUGGCAACAUGGGACUUGCCACCUCUACACCCACAUAAGAAGAUGGGGACCCCAGAUGCCAGGAUGCAGUGGUCAUGUCAGACUCCUCGCAGCCCCGUUGGUGGAGGAAUCAACUGGAAGCUCCUGAAUACCCUGGAGUCCAAGGCCUUGGACCCAAGGCCAGAGGCACCAGCGGCCCCCAAGAGUGAGGCACUCAGAGCACAACCCUAAAGGCUCAGGUUGGAGACGGUGAGUCUGAGAGGCCACAGCCAGGGAAACUGGCUUUCAGAAAGAAUGGCCCAGACAGAGCAGGAACCAAGGCGCUGGGGAGCCCAGCCUGGCAGAAGUGUGGACACCACCCUGUCCCUGGUUUGAGGGCCACGAGACUGGCCUGGUGCCUCCCCCACUGAGCUUGUCAACUCCUGGUGUCCCCAAAGCCAAAGCACACCUGGCCCAAGACACAGAAGCUGAGGCCCCUCCUCCCAGGGCCCUGAGGCACCUGCCUGGUGGUGGCUCAGACCACGG